GCAUAGCUCAGUCGGUGGAGCAUGAGACUCUGCAUCUCAGGGUUGUGGGGUUGAGCCCCACGUUGAGUG